rnacentral:lncRNA from 1 species
AAUUUUACCUUCUUUCCAGAUUACCAGGACAUGGGCACCUGGCCUGUAUUUUCGUAUGGUUUCAGAGCAUCUGACAGCUCAUUUCAUGCACAGUGAGUGGUUUCCAGUGCUUGCCGUGAAAGAGCCCCAAUAUGUACACCCCCCAGUAAGAUGAACCCCAAUUCCAUGGAGAGAGAAAAAGUGAGACAGCUUCUUCAUCCUUCAUGGUGCAUCAACACAUAAUAUUCU